AUACGGAGGACGCGAGCGUUAUCCGGAUUCAUUGGGUUUAAAGGGUGCGCAGGCGGCCGUGCAAGUCAGCGGUGAAAGCCCGGGGCUCAACCCCGGAAGUGCCGUUGAUACUGCGUGGCUGGAAUGCGGUCGAGGCGGGCGGAACGGGGCGUGUAGCGGUGGAAAGCGUAGAUAUGCCACAGAACGCCGAUAGCGGAGGCAGCUCGCCGGGCCUGCAUGGACGCUCGGGCACGAAAGCGUGGGGAUCGAACAGGAUUAGAUACCCUGGUAGUCCACGCCGUAAACGAUGGGCGCUCGUCGUCGGCGACAGACAGUCGGCGGCCAAGCGAAAGCGAUAAGCGCCCCACCUGGGGAGUACGGUCGCAUGAUUAAAACUCAAAGGAAUUGACGGGG
rnacentral:rRNA from 1 species